UAGUCCACGCUGUAAACGAUGAGUGCUGGGGAUUGGGAGUUCUGCUUUCAGUUCCGAAGCUAACGCGUUAAGCACUCCGCCUGGGGACUACGGCCGCAAGGCUAAAACUUAAAGGAAUUGACGGGGGCCCGCACAAGCGGUGGAGCAUGCGGUUUAAUUCGAUGCUACGCGAAGAACCUUUCCAACCCUUGACAUGUUUAGUUUCGAGCUUCAGAGAUGAGGCUCUUCAGUUCGGCUGGGCUUUACACAGGUGUUGCAUGGCUGUCGUCAGCUCGUGUCUUGAGAUGUUGGGUUAAGUCCCGUAACGAGCGCAACCCCCAUCCUUAUUUGCCAUCGGGUAAUGCCGGGAACUAUAAGGAAACUGUCUGCAAUAAGCAGGAGGAAGGUGGGGAUGAGGUCAAGUCAUCAUGGCCCUUAUGGGUUGGGCUACACGCGUGCUACAAUGGUAUCUACAGAGGGCAGCCAAGCAGUGAUGCGGAGCGAAUCUCAAAAAGGNUAUCU
rnacentral:rRNA from 1 species